AGUGGAUGCCUUGGCACCAGGAGCCGAUGAAGGACGUAGGAGGCUGCGAUAAGCCUCGGGGAGCUGUC
rnacentral:rRNA from 1 species